GGAAUCUUCGGCAAUGGACGAAAGUCUGACCGAGCAACGCCGCGUGAGUGAAGAAGGUUUUCGGAUCGUAAAACUCUGUUGGUAGAGAAGAACGUUGGUGAGAGUGGAAAGCUCAUCAAGUGACGGUAACUACCCAGAAAGGGACGACUAACUACGUGCCAG
rnacentral:rRNA from 1 species